GAGAACGAGACCUCCGCAACUCUGCACACAGUCAGACAUAGACACGGCCAGACCAUGGGACCUUUAAGAACCUGUGUAACGACGACCUAACAACCGAGGAACCGCACGCGUGAUCCUUCUGCUUCUUCUCUCCUUCCUUCUACGCUUCGCGACGACGUUUCGCCCUUCUCCGUCUGCCUCGCUCCACCUCUGCCACCUUUUUCCACAGCUCUCCUAUCCAGUUUCGAAGCCGGGGGAUUCCGAGUUCUCGAGAUGCUAACGGAAGGAAUUCGCGUUGUCGUGACUUCGACCGGAAAUCGAGAUUUCUCAGCAGUGACUUUCGCCAGUUGAGCAGACCGCACCGCAAUUACCAGGUGGUAUCGGAACGUUUUCGCUGAAGUUUCCCGACAAACAAGGCUCUCACUCUCCCUCUGUGAUACUAGUCCCCGGGAGCGGUAUCUGGCUGCACUAUCGGCUCCUCUAAUCGGCGAGAUUUCGUGCUCUCGACCCCCCGGAGAUCGCUCCGGGCUCGGAAGAAGUUUCCACGCCGGGGACCGAGUCCAAACAAACACCGUGCCGCGCUACCGACCGAUAUACAAACGAGCCGAGAAGAGACACGCACCAGCACUGUGCCGACUGUGUAUCUAUUUUUAUACUCGUAAAUGCAUACGCGAGUGCGUAUCCAUGUGAAAUCCGUUCAUUCGAAUUCGGUCGACUUUCUCAGCCGGAAUCGGUAGGAGUAGUAGGGAUGUCUGACUAGAAGUCGCCACAUUUCCCUUAUCAUCUGUACGUGUACGUAUCAUGCAGUGUCGCAGUUCCAG